UGUUUAUGAGUCGCACUAACCGG
rnacentral:piRNA from 1 species